rnacentral:tRNA from 1 species
UGAGGCAUGGAUCGAGGGUAGUUUUUUUUUUCUCUUGAAAACCGGUAUAGUUCGAAACAAAGAACUAUCGAGGGUUCGAAUCCCUCUCUCUCCU